GGUGUGGCCUUGUUGGGGGAAGUGUGUCACUGGGGGUGGGCUUUGAGGUUUUGGAGGCUCAAGCCAGGCCCAGUGGCUCACUCUCUCUUCCUGCUGCCUGCUGGUCC
rnacentral:miRNA from 1 species